rnacentral:rRNA from 1 species
AACACGUGGAUAACCUACCUAUAAGACUGGGAUAACUUCGGGAAACCGGAGCUAAUACCGGAUAAUAUUUUGAACCGCAUGGUUCAAAAGUGAAAGACGGUCUUGCUGUCACUUAUAGAUGGAUCCGCGCUGCAUUAGCUAGUUGGUAAGGUAACGGCUUACCAAGGCAACGAUGCAUAGCCCACCUGAGAGGGUGAUCGGCCACACUGGAACUGAGACACGGUCCAGACUCCUACGGGAGGCAGCAGUAGGGAAUCUUCCGCAAUGGGCGAAAGCCUGACGGAGCAACGCCGCGUGAGUGAUGAAGGUCUUCGGAUCGUAAAACUCUGUUAUUAGGGAAGAACAUAUGUGUAAGUAACUGUGCACAUCUUGACGGUACCUAAUCAGAAAGCCACGGCUAACUACGUGCCAGCAGCCGCGGUAAUACGUAGGUGGCAAGCGUUAUCCGGAAUUAUUGGGCGUAAAGCGCGCGUAGGCGGUUUUUUAAGUCUGAUGUGAAAGCCCACGGCUCAACCGUGGAGGGUCAUUGGAAACUGGAAAACUUGAGUGCAGAAGAGGAAAGUGGAAUUCCAUGUGUAGCGGUGAAAUGCGCAGAGAUAUGGAGGAACACCAGUGGCGAAGGCGACUUUCUGGUCUGUAACUGACGCUGAUGUGCGAAAGCGUGGGGAUCAAACAGGAUUAGAUACCCUGGUAGUCCACGCCGUAAACGAUGAGUGCUAAGUGUUAAGGGGGUUUCCGCCCCUUAGUGCUGCAGCUAACGCAUUAAGCACUCCGCCUGGGGAGUACGACCGCAAGGGUGAAACUCACAGGAAUUGACGGGGACCCGCACAAGCGGUGGAGCAUGUGGGUUUAAUUCGAAGCAACGCGAAGAACCUUACCAAAUCUUGACAUCCUUUGACAACUCUUGAGAUAGAGCCUUCCCCUUCGGGGGACAAAGUGACAGGUGGUGCAUGGGUGUCGUCAGCUCGUGUCGUGAAAUGUUGGGUUAAGUCCCGCAACG